rnacentral:lncRNA from 1 species
CACUGGGACACUAUGAUGAGGCCAGGAAAAUAUGACUGGCAGAUGGCUGAUGAGAAAAAAUUGGAAGGCAGUACUGUGGUGCUGCUGAAAUGUCUUCGUAGGAGGACCGUAUAGAUUAACCAGGAUGAAUCAGAGAGUGUGUUACUAGUACUGUCCAAUGUAAAGAUCACCUAACUUCCAUGAACGACUUUCGAAGUAAAAUGCAAUCAAUAUUUCCAACAAUUCCCAAGAACUCCGAAUCGGCUGUUGAGUGGGAGGAAACAUUGAAAUCCAAAUGAGAUGAGCAUGGAUGAAUUUCAAAAUGCUUGUUACAGAAAGGGGUGGCUCUGGAGACACCAUGACAGCAAAAGGACUGGACUGAUUUCUCCCAGGAACAUGGGCAGAUUGCUGACUGAACCAGUGCACUGGAUAGCAUUCGGCCUCAUCACAGGAGAGUAUGUGUGUGCGUGCUGGGGGAGGGUAAAGUUUUCCCACAGUUAAGAAGACUAUUUAAAAAUAGUAAUUACAGGAAUAACUUCCUUAUGUGGAGGGGACCCCAUAGGAAAUGAUUCUGUUUGUAACAGUUGAAGCAAAUUUCGUACUAAAAAAGUUUAUAAUAAAAGUAUGAUAAGAAAAUAUUUAUAAAACAGACCCCCUAAUAGCAAUAGUACUGCAAUGUGUCUAAUUAAAGGAAUUUCAAGAGCCUUUCUUGUCAAUAUAUGACAGAACUUGGAAGUCUUAUUCUGAUUAGCCAGACUACAAAGUGACAGUCACCUGGUAAGUCCUGUAUGGUAGGAAGUGGGUGUGGCUCUCGGGUCCUGAAUGUGGUCUGUGCUUUACAGCCAGCACACACAUGCUAGUUAUUUACCUGAUGCCCUUGCUUGAAGGCCCUAUAAAUUCUUAUACUUAAAACAAAAAGCCAGUAAUGAGUUGUGAUCACCCCAAAAGGCACAGUUGGGCUAAAAUAAUGAUGAUAUCAGGGGUAAACAUAUUUUUUUGAGAAGUUGGUCUGGAUCUCUGAACACUGACAAUUUGUCAUUUUGUCUCAGUUGUCAAAGUAAAAAAAGCCCAGUUGUCAUCCGUCUUCAAUAUUUUUAACCAGAAAGUCACCUGAGUACUGAGUCCCAAUAUAAAGUAUUUGGGACCACCUCCCUAACAAAGCUGUUAGGGUAAAUUCUGUGUGCACACCCAACUCCCUCCUGUCUUCCACAGUCUCCUACAAAAAAAAACAGAUGGAGAAUAAUGUCUACAUGCAAUUAUUUUUACUGCAAUUGUAUUUUAAAAUAUUUUCAAGAAGAGAAAUACUUUAAUAUGUCAAUAUGUCCAGAGAAAAAACCUGUAGUUAAAUAUCAGUUGUGCAAUUUCUUCCUACUUGCC